rnacentral:rRNA from 1 species
GAUGAACGCUGGCGGCGUGCUUAACACAUGCAAGUCGAACGAUGAAGCCCAGCUUGCUGGGUGGAUUAGUGGCGAACGGGUGAGUAACACGUGAGUAACCUGCCCUUGACUCUGGGAUAAGCCUGGGAAACUGGGUCUAAUACUGGAUAUGACUUCUCAUCGCAUGGUGGGGGGUGGAAAGAUUUAUUGGUCUUGGAUGGACUCGCGGCCUAUCAGCUUGUUGGUGAGGUAAUGGCUCACCAAGGCGACGACGGGUAGCCGGCCUGAGAGGGUGACCGGCCACACUGGGACUGAGACACGGCCCAGACUCCUACGGGAGGCAGCAGUGGGGAAUAUUGCACAAUGGGCGCAAGCCUGAUGCAGCGACGCCGCGUGGGGGAUGACGGCCUUCGGGUUGUAAACCUCUUUCAGUAGGGAAGAAGCGAGAGUGACGGUACCUGCAGAAGAAGCGCCGGCUAACUACGU